UACGAAGGGGGCUAGCGUUGCUCGGAAUUACUGGGCGUAAAGCGCACGUAGGCGGUCUUUUAAGUCGGGGGUGAAAUCCUGGAGCUCAACUCCAGAACUGCCUUCGAUACUGGAAGACUCGAGUCCGGGAGAGGUGGAGUGGAACUGCGAGUGUAGAGGUGAAAUUCGUAGAUAUUCGCAAGAACACCAGUGGCGAAGGCGGACUCACUGGCCCGGUACGUGACGCUGA
rnacentral:rRNA from 1 species